GACGAACGCUGGCGGCGUGCUUAACACAUGCAAGUCGAACGGUGAUCUUGGGAGCUUGCUCCUGGGUGAUCAGUGGCGAACGGGUGAGUAACACGUGAGUAACCUGCCCCUGACUCUGGAAUACCUUCGGGAAACCGAAGCUAAUACCGGAAAUGACACAGAGCCGCAUGGUUUCUGUGUGGAAAGUUUUUUCGGUUGGGGAUGGACUCGCGGCCUAUCAGCUUGUUGGGGAGGUAAUGGCUCACCAAGGCGACGACGGGUAGCCGGCCGGAGAGGGCGACCGGCCACACUGGGACUGAGACACGGCCCAGACUCCUACGGGAGGCAGCAGUGGGGAAUAUUGCACAAUGGGCGAAAGCCUGAUGCAGCGACGCCGCGUGAGGGAUGAAGGCCUUCGGGUUGUAAACCUCUUUCAGUAGGGAAGAAGCGCAAGUGACGGUACCUACAGAAGAAGCACCGGCUAACUACGUGCCAGCCGCCGCGGUAAGAC
rnacentral:rRNA from 1 species